UUUCCGUAGGUGAACCUGCGGAAGGAUCAUUAAUGAAAUGCAAGGAUGCUCUCUUUAGAGGUCCGACCCAUAUCAUUUUCACACCCUGUGCACACAAAUUUUACACACCUUUUUAAACACUACGUCUUAAGAAUGUAAUCAGUCUCUUAAUUGAGCAUAAAGUUUAUACAACUUUCGGCAACGGAUCUCUUGGUUCCCGCAUCGAUGAAGAACGCAGC
rnacentral:misc_RNA from 1 species